GAGAGGGGGUGACUAGUGACAGAGGGAGGGAGAGGGGGUGACUAGUGACAGAGUGAGGGGAUGACUGGUGACAGAGUGAGGGAGUGACUAGUGACAGAGGGAGAUAGUGACUAGUGACAGAGUGUCACUAGUCACCCCAUCCCUCUCUCUGUCACUAGUCACUCCCUCCCUACCUCUGUCACUGUGUCACCCGCUGCCUCACUCUGUCACUAGUCACCCCAUCCCUCUCUCUGUCACUAGUCACCCCAUCCC